UACGAGGGGGGCGAGCGUUGUUCGGAAUUAUUGGGCGUAAAGGGUGCGUAGGCGGUUCCGCAAGUCCUGUGUGAAAUCUUCGGGCUCAACUCGAAGUCUGCACGGGAAACUGCGGGGCUUGAGUGUGGGAGAGGUGAGUGGAAUUCCCGGUGUAGCGGUGAAAUUCGUAGAUAUUCGCAAGAACACCAGUGGCGAAGGCGGCUCACUGGCCCGAUACUGACGCUGAGGCACGAAAGCGUGGGGAGCAAACAGG
rnacentral:rRNA from 1 species